UUUAACUGAAGAGUUUGAUCAUGGCUCAGAUUGAACGCUGGCGGCAGGCUUAACACAUGCAAGUCGAGCGGGGGAAGGUAGCUUGCUACUGGACCUAGCGGCGGACGGGUGAGUAAUGCUUAGGAAUCUGCCUAUUAGUGGGGGACAACAUCUCGAAAGGGAUGCUAAUACCGCAUACGUCCUACGGGAGAAAGCAGGGGAUCUUCGGACCUUGCGCUAAUAGAUGAGCCUAAGUCGGAUUAGCUAGUUGGUGGGGUAAAGGCCUACCAAGGCGACGAUCUGUAGCGGGUCUGAGAGGAUGAUCCGCCACACUGGGACUGAGACACGGCCCAGACUCCUACGGGAGGCAGCAGUGGGGAAUAUUGGACAAUGGGGGGAACC
rnacentral:rRNA from 1 species